GACGUAAGUAAACUGGUUCCCCGUAGUUGUUGCGCGAUCAGGGUGGCCUCAACAGGAAAAGGGGCGGUUUAACUACAGUCCGCCUUCGAGUCGUGCAUGUUAUUCCCAACAUGAGUGAUUCAGGACCUGACAGAGAUAUCAGCAGAAAUGACAGUGAAGUGAAAGAAGGCACAUUCUGGUUGGCAAGAAAUGUCCUUUUGAGAUAUCUUGGAUUUAUUUACUUUUGGGCAUUUCUCAUUUCCUUGCAUCAGAACAAACGGUUGUUUGGAAAAGAAGGCAUUCUCCCAAACGCAUCCAGUCCAUAUCUUGGAGACAUCAUUAACAGACUUGCUAACACAGAUCGAGAGGGUGUUAUUAACGUUCCAAAAAUCGCCUCCUGGUUUUUCAACGGCCUUCUCCCAUACACGUCCAAUACAGAUCUUAGAUACAUCAUCAAGAGUCUUGCUGACACAGAUCGAGAGAGUGUUAUCGACGUUCCAAAAAUCGUCUACUGGUUUUUCAAGGACAACAAGCCAGAUGAGAAUACUCUUGUUUUUAUCACGCAUGUCGGCUUGGCUCUGUCUCUGUCCCUCAUCAUUAGAGGAGCAGCAAAUUGGGUUUUGAUGUUGUGUCUGUGGACCAUAUACCAUUUACUUGUUGACGCCGGACGGCAGUGGCACAGCUUUGGUUGGGAGUUUCAGCUUCUAGAGACUGGAUUCCUGGCUACAUUCCUGUGCCCUGUGUGGAGCCUGAGACAACCACCGACAUCUCGCGCUGUCAUCCGGGGGUUUAAAUGGAUGUUUUUCCGCAUUAUGUGGGGAUGGACUUAGGACAAAUUCCGGAGAGAUCGUGUUAUUUGCUUCACAUAUUUCACUUGCAUGAAUUAUCAUUAUCAGACCACGCCAUUUAGCUUCAACAGUGACUGUCCAAAGACGAGGGAAGACCAGAUUAUAAGGUAUCAUGUCCUUGCUCCAUUUAUCCUGAUAUUUGGACGCAGAAUGGCCAUCAUUGCAGGAGCAAUAGGCAUAUAUUCUCAGGUUUCGUUAAUUUACAGUGGAGACCUGAGUCUGUUCAACUGGUUAAACAUUGUUCCCUGUCUGGCAUGUUUUGAUGAUCGGUGUAUAAGUUGGCUGCUGCCCGGGCGUUUGAGGAGGCAGAUAGCCUACAAGCAAGAGCUCACGCAGACAGAGGGUCUCAAAAUGUUCAACCUCGGUUUGGGAUUCUUCAUUAUCCUGCGGAGUAUUCAGGUUUUCAGCAGAACGUUUGACGAUAUGCUUUGGCUCGUAAAUACCAAUACCAAAGGGUAACUACUAACUCUGCAAUUGAAGCUUCAUUUCUUCAUCCAAAUGUAUUUGAUUAUGUUCGAACUGUACAGAGAAGCAGAUAGAAAGAAUCAAGUGUUUUGGCAAACGAAUAUCCAAAUGUGGCUCGUAAAUACCAAUACCAAAGGGUAACUACUAACUCUGCAAUUGAAUUUUAAUUUCUUCAUCCAAAUGUAUUUGGUUAUGUUCGAACUGUACAGAGAAGCAGAUAGAAAGAAUCAAGUGUUUUGGCAAACGAAUAUCCAAAUGUGACGCCCCAAGUACAGAUACAUUGCACGGAUCAACAUCGUUUCCGGAAACAAAUAUUUCAAUAAGGGCAUAUGAUCAAUUGAAAUUCCAUGUUGGAUGAUAAGGCAACGGUUAAUUAAGUGUGACUUCUCUGGAUUGUAUAUCAACAGAAUAGUUGUCGUUGUUCAUUAGUACUUCUUAUUUUGUUUGUUCCGUUACAUGAAAAAGACCAAAUACAUCCCUUUCGUUAUGAAGGGUGGCUGAAAUGUUCUGAGCCAAACAACAACGGAUGUAUAGUGCAUCCGUAACACUUUGCAUGUAUUAAGUACAGUGAAAUCUGUCGAAAUCGGACUCUCAAAUUCUGAGUUCAGUGAAAACCGGACCUUUUCUUAAGUCCCCUCAGUUCCUGAAUAAAUUAUAAUUACUCAAACUUACCUGCAACUCUCUAAUUUGGACCUUUUACACUUCGGGCUAAAAUGUCGGUCCAAACAACCAAUUUACUAUUGAAAAGAAGCUGUCUAAAUCGGACUGGACCAGACCGGACCGAACCGUAUGUUCUCUUACUUUGAAGUAACUCAGGCACUGCCAGCAUGAACUGGGCAUGACAAAGGUUUCACGCACUGGACUCCAAGACUCCUGAUCAGAAACGCUCCAGGUUCAUCAUAUGUAGUGAGAAUUUUCAAACAGACCGAAAUGAUUUGUAGAGUGAAAUUUGAGUUGACCCCUAUCAUCACGAGGCUACACAAGGGGCAAGGCAGCGGAAACGUAUAAGUAAACAUUCCAAAAGAAUCCUACUGGUGGACUACCUCCUGAGAUGCCAGACCAUUAAUGGCUAAUAUCUGCUUAUAGGGCUACCGCGUGAGACCAUCAAGGCUAUGCUUGGCCUGAAACUCUCUAUAAGUGUGCUGUUCCACUUUACACAAGUCUGUGGCUGCAAUGCAUAAAUGUGGCUUUCAACAUCCCCCGUUUUCAGCAGAUUUUCCACAGUAAUAUAUGAGUAAUCCACCUCCUCCACAAUUUGAAGAAACAUUUGUCAAACAUUAUGCGGCCGCCACAUAUCUCUUUGGACAAUUCCAUGGUCAUUUAUGCAUGUGCCCAUGUCUGCAUAUGGCCUGAGCAGCGAUCAGCGCAGUCGGGGUACGACGACACAUAAUGGACCGAAUUCAGCCUCAUAACCCGAUCCUUUUGAUCACCCCUUACAACCAGCAUAGGAGACCCACAAGAUGUAUGUAUACAGUGUCACAUACAGAAAUAUCGACCAAACAUAUCCUACGACCAUUGAUAUCACAUAUAGGGAUUAACGACCAAACAUAUAAAACGGCCAUUGAUAUCACAUACAGAGAUAAAGGUUAAAACAUCUCCAGCGACCAUUGAUAUCACAUAUAUACAGAGAUAACGACCAAACAUAUCCAACGACCAUUGCUAUCACAUACAGAGAUAACAACAAAGAUAUAGCCAACGACCAUUGCUAUCACAUUCAGAGAUAACGAUUAAAACAUCUCCUACGACCAUUGCUAUCACAUACAGAGAUAACAACAAAAAUAUAGCCAACGACCAUUGAUAUCACAUACAGAGAUAACGAUUAAACAUAUCCAACGACCACUGACAUCACAUACAGAGAUAACGAUUAAAACAUGCCCAGUGUCUCGUAUAUCACAUGGCAAAGAUAACGAAAAUGUUUAAAUAUAUAUAUAACUCAUAUACCAUUAUACAAGUUGGUUAAUAUAUGAAGAAUCACUCAUAUUCAAGAGAUAUUAGAUUGGUUCGACGCACAA